rnacentral:rRNA from 1 species
CCUACGGGAGGCUGCAGUGGGGAAUAUUGGACAAUGGGCAAAAGCCUGAUCCAGCCAUGCCGCGUGUGUGAAGAAGGCCUUCGGGUUGUAAAGCACUUUCAGUGGGGAAGAAAGCCUUGGGGCUAAUACCCUCGAGGAAGGACAUCACCCACAGAAGAAGCACCGGCUAACUCCGUGCCAGCAGCCGCGGUAAUACGGAGGGUGCGAGCGUUAAUCGGAAUUACUGGGCGUAAAGCGCGCGUAGGCGGUCUGAUAAGCCGGUUGUGAAAGCCCCGGGCUCAACCUGGGAACGGCAUCCGGAACUGUCAGGCUAGAGUGCAGGAGAGGAAGGUAGAAUUCCCGGUGUAGCGGUGAAAUGCGUAGAGAUCGGGAGGAAUACCAGUGGCGAAGGCGGCCUUCUGGACUGACACUGACGCUGAGGUGCGAAAGCGUGGGUAGCAAACAGGAUUAGAUACCCCAGUAGU